rnacentral:rRNA from 1 species
UACGUAGGGUGCGAGCGUUGUCCGGAAUUAUUGGGCGUAAAGAGCUCGUAGGCGGUUUGUCGCGUCUGCUGUGAAAACCUAAGGCUCAACCUUGGGCUUGCAGUGGGUACGGGCAGACUAGAGUGCGGUAGGGGUGACUGGAAUUCCUGGUGUAGCGGUGGAAUGCGCAGAUAUCAGGAGGAACACCGAUGGCGAAGGCAGGUCACUGGGCCGCAACUGACGCUGGAGGAGCG